UGUCCAGGGAUGGGAAACGAACCCACAGUGUUCCGCUUACCGGGCAGAUGCCAUGUCAACUUGGCUACCCUGGGGAC
rnacentral:tRNA from 1 species